rnacentral:misc_RNA from 1 species
GAUGAAGAACGCAGCAAAAUGCGAUAAGUAAUGGGAAUUGCAGAAUUCAGUGAAUCAUCGAAUCUUUGAACGCACAUUGCGCCCGCCAGUAUUCUGGCGGGCAUGCCUGUUCGAGCGUCAUUUCAACCCUCAAGCCCUCGGGUUUGGUGUUGGGGAUCGGCGAGCCUUUCUGGCAAGCCGGCCCCGAAAUCUAGUGGCGGUCUCGCUGCAGCCUCCAUUGCGUAGUAGUAAAACCCUCGCAACUGGAACGCGGCGCGGCCAAGCCGUUAAACCCCCAACUUCUGAAUGUUGACCUCGGAUCAGGUAGGAAUACCCGCUGAACUUAAGCAUAUCAAUAAGCGGAGGA